rnacentral:rRNA from 1 species
CUACGGGAUGCUGCAGUGGGGGAUAUUGCACAAUGGGCGAAAGCCUGAUGCAGCAACGCCGCGUGAAGGAAGACGGAUUUCGGUCUGUAAACUUCUAUCAGCAGGGAUGAAAAUGACAGUACCUGACUAAGAAGCCCCGGCUAACUACGUGCCAGCAGCCGCGGUAAUACGUAGGGGGCAAGCGUUAUCCGGAAUUACUGGGUGUAAAGGGUACGUAGGCGGCUGAUCAAGUCAGAUGUGAAAGCCCGGAGCUCAACUCCGGGACUGCAUUUGAAACUGGUCGGCUAGAGUGUAGGAGAGGAAAGUGGAAUUCCUAGUGUAGCGGUGAAAUGCGUAGAUAUUAGGAAGAACACCAGUGGCGAAGGCGGCUUUCUGGACUAUAACUGACGCUGAGGUACGAAAGCGUGGGGAGCAAACAGGAUUAGAUACCCCUGUAGUC